AAACAUAUACCAGCACUAUCAUAUUAUUGACUUAGUCGUUGAUCGUCAUUGUACAUUUAUACGAGUACCUAGGACCUACACGAUAUCCGUUGAAUGUGUCAUGUAGAUAUAAACGACCAAUCAUUCGUAGUAACUGAUAGGUAUGUGUAAAUUGUAAUUUUGUACCCAUACUUAGCAUAUUUUGCUAAUAUCGGUCGUCCUUUAUUGGUUUGUGUAAUUACUGGGUCACGUAAGCCGAGAGACGGAUCAAUAUAGCCAACGCCCAACAAAAUACUGUCUUAUACAAAUAUAACGUUCCGAUCAAACAUUAUACAUAUAUUAAUAGGUAUGUAUACUAAAUGUAUCGACAAUUAUCUAUAAAACAAUAGUGGUCGUGGAAACGUGGCAUUUAGAUCAUUGG